CAUUCAUGGCAGCAACUUCACUUCGGAGCCUUUUCGCGCUUUCGGUUCACUUCGAAACCCUCCAACUUCUUCCAAUACAAGCCAACUAAUAUUCCUAAGCUUCCAAAUUAAUCCGGGAACAUUCCAAACUACAUUCUUGCAUUAUCAUGAUCAAUUUGCUCAAACUAUCCAAUACAAAUCCUGCACCUGGCAGCACUUUACUCCGAGCUUCUUUUUGCGCUACCACUUCGCACCAAACACUUCAAAACCCUUCUAA
rnacentral:lncRNA from 1 species